ACACAUGCAGUCGAGGGGUAACAGAUCUUCGGAUGCUGACGACCGGCGAACGGGUGAGUAACACGUAUGCAACUUACCCAUAACUCGGGAAUAGCCCAAAGAAAUUUGGAUUAAUACCCAAUAAUACAGGCGUACCGCAUGGUAUUCUUCGUUAAAGAAUAAUCGGUUAUGGAUAGGCAUGCGUUCUAUUAGGUAGUUGGUGAGGUAACGGCUCACCAAGCCGACGAUGGAUAGGGGAACUGAGAGGUUGUCCCCCCACACUGGUACUGAGACACGGACCAGACUCCUACGGGAGGCAGCAGUGAGGAAUAUUGGUCAAUGGACGAAAGUCUGAACCAGCCAAAUCGCGUGAAGGAAGAAGGUAUUAUGUAUCGUAAACUUCUUUUGUAAGAGAGUAAAGUGCACUACGUGUAGUGUAUUGCAAGUACCUUACGAAUAAGCAUCGGCUAAUUCCGUGCCAGCAGCCGCGGUAAUACGGAAGAUGCAAGUGUUAUCCGGAUUUAUUGGGUUUAAAGGGUGCGUAGGUGGUCUAAUAAGUCAGUGGUGAAAUCUCUUUGCUUAACAAGGAAAUUGCCAUUGAAACUGUUAGACUUGAGAAUGGACGAGGUAGGCGGAAUUCGUAGUGUAGCGGUGAAAUGCAUAGAUAUUACGAAGAACUCCAAUAGUGUAGACUGCUUACCAGACCAUAUCUGACACUAAGGCACGAAAGUGUGGGUAUCAAACAGGAUUAGAUACCCUGGUAGUCCACACAGUAAACGAUGAAUACUAACUGUUUGCGAUAUACAGCAAGUGGUCGAGCGAAAGCGUUAAGUAUUCCACCUGGGAAGUAUGCCGGCACGGUGAACUCAAGGAAUUGACGGGGCCCGCACAAGCGAGAACAUGUGGUUUAAUCGAUAUACGCGAGAACUUACCCGGGCUCGACGAUAUUGAUACAUCCGAA
rnacentral:rRNA from 1 species